rnacentral:lncRNA from 1 species
CCCCACCCCAGCAAUCUAAAAAAUUCAAAUCUCUCUAUACCCCCACUCCAACAGACCCAACCCCCGCCUUAUCUCUCACUAUAGAAAACUCCAAAAAUUAAAAAUAUUCUCUCUACAGAAACUCUCUCUCUAUAUACAUUUACAUACACAAAUAACUUUAUAGGUGGUGGUAGUGGAGGUGGAGAGGUGACACUAUAUUUAGAAAAUAGAUCUACGUGGUGGGGGUGAUAGCACAUUGUAGGUGAUGAAGGUGCAUUGCAAUUGAUUGUUUAAUGAUAGUGGUGGUGGUGGUAGUGGUGAGGUAGUAGCAACGUUUUGAAUACCAUGUGGUGACAGUGGUGUUUCAUUGUAGUUGACGAGAUUUGUGACUAAUUGUGUUAUAUGUGACCUAAUUUAUAGUUUGUGACCAUACCUGUGUUAUCUGUGACUAAUUGUGACCAGAUUGUCUAUGAUCAAUCCCAAGUCAUUUGUAACUGUAUGUGAUCAAAUCACCGACAUGUGUUAUCUGUGACUAAUUGUGACCAAAUUUGUAUUUAGUGUGACUAUUUGUGACUAUAUCAGUCCAAAUUGUGACUCUCUGUUAAUCUGGUCACAAACGGUCACAAUAAAGACAAAAUUGAUCACAUCCGAUCACAAUAAACACAUUAUUUAUCACAGAGGGUCACCACAAACAAAUCUGCAACAUCAAAGACCAACACCACAAUGCACCACAACUACACCUUCAACUCAAAUCUACAUUCACCUCAAAUCCACAACAACAAUCACUACCACCAUCACUUCGACCAAUACCUUCAAUAACACACCAACCACCAGCAUCGCAACAUCUACAUAACCAACAACAACAACAGAACCACCCCACAGAUUAGAAAAUCACCAAUAGUACCGCCACCACCAACAAAUCAUCACAUCUCUAAACACCCCCAAAUUGGAUUAGAAAAUCACCAACUUUAGAUAGAACAAAUUUCAAGUACCAAUUUUAUGUAGUAAAAUCAUCAAUUAAUGAAGAAUUUGAUUGCUAAGACACUGUGUAUCCAGGCCACAGAAAAUAACACCAAAACAAAAACACCAUCGACUAAACCUUAAACUCCUGAUAUUAGAAUUUCUGAAUGAUCUUAACCAAGUUCAAGCAAAAGAGCUUAUCAAACCCAUUCCAUUAUCAAAUAAUUUCCCAUUCAUCUCAGGCCAAACAAGUUGCAACAAAUUCCAACCAAUAGAAAAACUCUAGUAGAUCUGCUCUAGAUUCAUCAAAUGGCCCUAGAUCCGUUUAGCACGAAAUCCAUGUGGCAAUCACUUUUAUCCUCAUAAAGCUUCAGGGAGCCAAUGAAUAAGUCUUUCUAUUUUGGUUCGCCAUUGCGACGAGGCCGUUGGUGCAGCUAACAUCGUUUGUUUUCGGGAUGAUUAACCGUUUGUUUCGCGGUCAUCUAUGUCUCCUUGACGUCACCAUCAUCGCCCUCGCUGGAAAUCUCUUCCAGUGGCCUCCCUUUCGUCUUAGUCACAAGGAAGGUACAGAAAAAUCCAAGACUAGUGGGGAAAAGCUCUGUCGGCAGCACAAAGGUUGUUGAGUUGGGGUCGAAAUCAGCGAAGAUGAACGCUAGCCUGUAAAGAACCGCAAAAUCCCAUUCUUUUCAUUUUUGGAGUGAUUAUAUUUGGGACAGAGAAAAGUUUGGGCAACUACUGAUGCUAAAAAUGAAAU